rnacentral:rRNA from 1 species
GAUGAACGCUGGCGGCGUGCCUAAUACAUGCAAGUCGAGCGAACAGACGAGGAGCUUACUCCUCUGACGUUAGCGGCGGACGGGUGAGUAACACGUGGAUAACCUACCUAUAAGACUGGGAUAACUUCGGGAAACCGGAGCUAAUACCGGAUAACAUGUUGAACCGCAUGGUUCAACAGUGAAAGACGGUCUUGCUGUCACUUAUAGAUGGAUCCGCGUCGCAUUAGCUAGUUGGUAAGGUAACGGCUUACCAAGGCAACGAUGCGUAGCCGGCCUGAGAGGGUGAUCGGCCACACUGGAACUGAGACACGGUCCAGACUCCUACGGGAGGCAGCAGUAGGGAAUCUUCCGCAAUGGGCGAAAGCCUGACGGAGCAACGCCGCGUGAGUGAAGAAGGUCUUCGGAUCGUAAAACUCUGUUAUUAGGGAAGAACAAAUGUGUAAGUAACUAUGCACGUCUUGACGGUACCUAAUCAGAAAGCCACGGCUAACUACGUG